UGGCUCUAGGUGAAAGUAACUGCUGUUGUUUGUCGCAGCAGAAGAUAAGCCCCAGCCUUCUCCUGCUGCGACCUUUGCUCUGACCUCCCCAGUAAGCAGCAGUUUCCAAGAUUAGCAUGGAGGCGACAGUGCUGGUGGAGAGAUUCCUGGCUCCUUUCUGCAAAGUGUC
rnacentral:lncRNA from 1 species